rnacentral:lncRNA from 1 species
UGUUGUGCUCCACACUGAUGCCAUUCACAGAGGCGGUGGGCAGGUUAUCCCUACGGCCAGGAGGGUCAUUUAUGCUUCUCAGCUCACUGCUAAGCCAAGGCUGCUGGAGCCUGUCUACCUGGUGGAGAUCCAGGCCCCGGAGAACGCACUUGGUGGUAUUUAUGGUGUUCUGAAUCAGAAGAGAGGGCAUGUGUUCGAGGAGAUGCAGAGGCCUGGUACCCCACUUUACAACAUCAAGGCUUACCUCCCUGUUAUCGAGUCCUUUGGGUUUUCAAGCACACUAAGGGCUGCAACAUCCGGUCAGGCAUUCCCUCAGUGUGUGUUUGACCACUGGGAUAUCAUGUCUUCCGAUCCCUUGGAGGCCGGCAC